GGGUUGUGAGGUUAAGCGACUAAGCGUACACGGUGGAUGCCCUGGCAGUCAGAGGCGAUGAAGGACGUGCUAAUCUGCGAUAAGCGUCGGUAAGGUGAUAUGAACCGUUAUAACCGGCGAUUUCCGAAUGGGGAAACCCAGUGUGAUUCGUCACACUAUCAUUAACUGAAUCCAUAGGUUAAUGAGGCGAACCGGGGGAACUGAAACAUCUAAGUACCCCGAGGAAAAGAAAUCAACCGAGAUUCCCCCAGUAGCGGCGAGCGAACGGGGAGCAGCCCAGAGCCUGAAUCAGUGUGUGUGUUAGUGGAAGCGUCUGGAAAGGCGUGCGAUACAGGGUGACAGCCCCGUACACAAAAAUGCACAUAUUGUGAGCUCGAUGAGUAGGGCGGGACACGUGGUAUCCUGUCUGAAUAUGGGGGGACCAUCCUCCAAGGCUAAAUACUCCUGACUGACCGAUAGUGAACCAGUACCGUGAGGGAAAGGCGAAAAGAACCCCGGCGAGGGGAGUGAAAAAGAACCUGAAACCGUGUACGUACAAGCAGUGGGAGCACAGAGCAAUCUGUGUGACUGCGUACCUUUUGUAUAAUGGGUCAGCGACUUAUAUUCUGUAGCAAGGUUAACCGAAUAGGGGAGCCGAAGGGAAACCGAGUCUUAACUGGGCGUUAAGUUGCAGGGUAUAGACCCGAAACCCGGUGAUCUAGCCAUGGGCAGGUUGAAGGUUGGGUAACACUAACUGGAGGACCGAACCGACUAAUGUUGAAAAAUUAGCGGAUGACUUGUGGCUGGGGGUGAAAGGCCAAUCAAACCGGGAGAUAGCUGGUUCUCCCCGAAAGCUAUUUAGGUAGCGCCUCGUGAAUUCAUCUCCGGGGGUAGAGCACUGUUUCGGCAAGGGGGUCAUCCCGACUUACCAACCCGAUGCAAACUGCGAAUACCGGAGAAUGUUAUCACGGGAGACACACGGCGGGUGCUAACGUCCGUCGUGAAGAGGGAAACAACCCAGACCGCCAGCUAAGGUCCCAAAGUCAUGGUUAAGUGGGAAACGAUGUGGGAAGGCCCAGACAGCCAGGAUGUUGGCUUAGAAGCAGCCAUCAUUUAAAGAAAGCGUAAUAGCUCACUGGUCGAGUCGGCCUGCGCGGAAGAUGUAACGGGGCUAAACCAUGCACCGAAGCUGCGGCAGCGACGCUUAUGCGUUGUUGGGUAGGGGAGCGUUCUGUAAGCCUGUGAAGGUGUGCUGUGAGGCAUGCUGGAGGUAUCAGAAGUGCGAAUGCUGACAUAAGUAACGAUAAAGCGGGUGAAAAGCCCGCUCGCCGGAAGACCAAGGGUUCCUGUCCAACGUUAAUCGGGGCAGGGUGAGUCGACCCCUAAGGCGAGGCCGAAAGGCGUAGUCGAUGGGAAACAGGUUAAUAUUCCUGUACUUGGUGUUACUGCGAAGGGGGGACGGAGAAGGCUAUGUUGGCCGGGCGACGGUUGUCCCGGUUUAAGCGUGUAGGCUGGUUUUCCAGGCAAAUCCGGAAAAUCAAGGCUGAGGCGUGAUGACGAGGCACUACGGUGCUGAAGCAACAAAUGCCCUGCUUCCAGGAAAAGCCUCUAAGCAUCAGGUAACAUCAAAUCGUACCCCAAACCGACACAGGUGGUCAGGUAGAGAAUACCAAGGCGCUUGAGAGAACUCGGGUGAAGGAACUAGGCAAAAUGGUGCCGUAACUUCGGGAGAAGGCACGCUGAUAUGUAGGUGAAGUCCCUCGCGGAUGGAGCUGAAAUCAGUCGAAGAUACCAGCUGGCUGCAACUGUUUAUUAAAAACACAGCACUGUGCAAACACGAAAGUGGACGUAUACGGUGUGACGCCUGCCCGGUGCCGGAAGGUUAAUUGAUGGGGUUAGCGCAAGCGAAGCUCUUGAUCGAAGCCCCGGUAAACGGCGGCCGUAACUAUAACGGUCCUAAGGUAGCGAAAUUCCUUGUCGGGUAAGUUCCGACCUGCACGAAUGGCGUAAUGAUGGCCAGGCUGUCUCCACCCGAGACUCAGUGAAAUUGAACUCGCUGUGAAGAUGCAGUGUACCCGCGGCAAGACGGAAAGACCCCGUGAACCUUUACUAUAGCUUGACACUGAACAUUGAGCCUUGAUGUGUAGGAUAGGUGGGAGGCUUUGAAGUGUGGACGCCAGUCUGCAUGGAGCCGACCUUGAAAUACCACCCUUUAAUGUUUGAUGUUCUAACGUUGACCCGUAAUCCGGGUUGCGGACAGUGUCUGGUGGGUAGUUUGACUGGGGCGGUCUCCUCCUAAAGAGUAACGGAGGAGCACGAAGGUUGGCUAAUCCUGGUCGGACAUCAGGAGGUUAGUGCAAUGGCAUAAGCCAGCUUGACUGCGAGCGUGACGGCGCGAGCAGGUGCGAAAGCAGGUCAUAGUGAUCCGGUGGUUCUGAAUGGAAGGGCCAUCGCUCAACGGAUAAAAGGUACUCCGGGGAUAACAGGCUGAUACCGCCCAAGAGUUCAUAUCGACGGCGGUGUUUGGCACCUCGAUGUCGGCUCAUCACAUCCUGGGGCUGAAGUAGGUCCCAAGGGUAUGGCUGUUCGCCAUUUAAAGUGGUACGCGAGCUGGGUUUAGAACGUCGUGAGACAGUUCGGUCCCUAUCUGCCGUGGGCGCUGGAGAACUGAGGGGGGCUGCUCCUAGUACGAGAGGACCGGAGUGGACGCAUCACUGGUGUUCGGGUUGUCAUGCCAAUGGCACUGCCCGGUAGCUAAAUGCGGAAGAGAUAAGUGCUGAAAGCAUCUAAGCACGAAACUUGCCCCGAGAUGAGUUCUCCCUGACUCCUUGAGAGUCCUGAAGGAACGUUGAAGACGACGACGUUGAUAGGCCGGGUGUGUAAGCGCAGCGAUGCGUUGAGCUAACCGGUACUAAUGAACCGUGAGGCUUAACCUUACAACGCCGAAGGUGUUU
rnacentral:rRNA from 1 species